UACGAAGGGGGCUAGCGUUGCUCGGAAUCACUGGGCGUAAAGCGCACGUAGGCGGAUUGCUAAGUCAGGGGUGAAAUCCUGGAGCUCAACUCCAGAACUGCCUUUGAUACUGGCGACCUUGAGUCCGGGAGAGGUGAGUGGAACUGCGGGUGUAGAGGUGAAAUUCGUAGAUAUUCGCAAGAACACCAGUGGCGAAGGCGGCUCACUGGCCCGAUACUGACGCUGAGGCACGAAAGCGUGGGGAGCAAACAGG
rnacentral:rRNA from 1 species